GGAUGCAUGCAUGCGCGUGUGUGCGAGGGAGAGCGCGAGGGUGCGCGUGUUUGCCUAUGUGCCCGCACCUCCUGGAGAAACAGCAGUGGCAGCAGCGGAAGGAGCUGGGGGAUCAUGCAGCUACCCCAGCCGGUGCCUGCCCCGGCCAGCCAGGCACCCCUCCUUUGGAUGCCAGCCGGCUCUAAGUUCCUCUGCAUCGAGAUGAAUCGCCCAAUCCAGGUGAAGCCAGCAGACAGCGAAGGCCGAGGAGAAGACAGGAAGCUUUUUGUGGGUAUGCUGGGGAAGCAACAGAGUGAAGAUGAUGUCCGGAGGCUCUUCGAACCCUUUGGCCAAAUCGAAGAAUGCACCAUCCUCAGAGGGCCUGAUGGAGCCAGCAAAGGAUGUGCCUUUGUCAAAUAUGGAAGCCAUGCAGAGGCCCAAGCAGCGAUCAGCAGUCUUCAUGGCAGCCAGACCAUGCCGGGAGCAUCCUCGAGCCUGGUUGUGAAGUUUGCCGACACAGACAAGGAAAGGACUCUGCGGCGGAUGCAUCAGAUGGCGGGCCAGCUGGGGAUCUUUAAUCCAAUGACGAUCCAGUUUGGCGCCUACGGAGCAUACACGCAAGCGAUAAUACAGCAGCAGGCAGCCCUGAUGGCUGCAGCACAAGGAACUUGCCUCAACCCGAUGGCGGCCAUCGCGGCGGCCCAGAUGCAACAAAUGGCCGCUUUUAACGUGAGCGGAUUGGUCGCAGCCCCUAUGACGCCCUCAUCAGGUACAAGCACACCUCCAGGGAUCAGCACAGCGCCGGUCCCUAGCAUAGCUACGCCGAUUGGGGUCAAUGGAUUCAGCCCUCUCCCACCACAGACCAAUGGGCAGCCAGCAUCAGAAACAAUUUACACCAAUGGAAUCCAUCCAUACCCAGCUCAAAGUCCCACUGUGGCAGACCCCCUCCAGCAAGCCUAUGCAGGCAUGCAGCACUAUGCAGCAGCAUAUCCAGCCGCCUAUGCACCAAUCAGCCAGGCCUUCCCCCAGCAAGCGCCCAUCAUCCCGCAACAACAGAGAGAAGGUCCCGAAGGCUGUAAUCUCUUCAUUUAUCAUCUGCCCCAGGAGUUUGGGGAUGCUGAGCUCAUGCAGAUGUUCUUGCCAUUUGGCAACGUCAUCUCUGCCAAAGUUUUCGUCGAUCGUGCCACUAACCAAAGUAAAUGCUUUGGUUUCGUCAGUUUUGACAAUCCAACUAGCGCUCAGGCAGCCAUUCAAGCAAUGAACGGCUUCCAGAUCGGCAUGAAGAGGCUAAAAGUCCAACUAAAGCGGCCGAAAGAUGCCAACAGACCCUACUGACCCCCGUUUACUCUGGCCCUGAAAACAGACCAGGCCAAUCAUAGCUCCAAGGAUGAACCCCCACAGUUGCCUAGCAACCCUCUAGCUGUUAUGGGAGGCCCAAAUCAAAAGCUCUCCCUCCCCAAAUGUCUGAAAACUACUGGAUGCCAUGCGGCAUACAAAGAGCGUUCCCCUUGUUCCAUGGGCCGUAUCCAGACUUGUAACUCUCUUUCUUUGCAACAUAUCACGGAGGAGAAGAAGCAGAAGGAGGAGGUGGUGGAAGAAGAGGAGGAGGAGGAGAGAUGCUCGCGAAAAAGAGAGCCAGUUUGGUUGUACCUUAUUUUUUCCUUUCCUUCCUUCCUUUUUUUUUUUUUAAGUUUCAAAUGGGUUGCGGGUUUUUCUUUUUUUAAAAAAAAAAAUCUCUUUCAAGGCAAGAGAAAACAAAGAAGGCGGUUAUGACAAUAAUGGACAAGAAGGGAAAGGCACUGAUGUUGGCUGAUGCAAAGCUCCGCAAGGCGAAGAGGCCGCUGAAGAAGACUCUUUUGUUAAUAAAAGGAGAGAAAAACCUAUUAUCCCUCGCCUCGAGAAGCGUGGGAUUUUUGCAAGAGGAAUAGUUGCAGGCGCCGAGCCUGCUGGUGGGACCAGCCUCCCUCUCUAAAGCGCUUGAGGUUCCAGAAGAGGGAGGCCACACAGAUCUAAACCAAAGCUGCUGGGUUUGGACCAGGCCUGUACGUUACACCCGAGUAACGCUUUUGUUUUUAAAAGGGGGAAAGAAAAAAAAAAGAGAGAGAUUUUUUUUUCCCCCGCACCGCGUCUGUUUGGGAAACGAAAGAGAAAAAAAUCAGUUGCUAAAACGGAUGUUGAACUGAACAGAAGAUAUAUAUAUAAAUAGGUCUAUAUAUCUAUAUCCCAUGGAUUGGGGAGGUGGGAUUUCUCUACCCCACCCAGCCCCCCCAACUGGGGAGA